AUUGAACGCUGGCGGCAUGCUUUAUACAUGCAAGUCGAACGGAAACAGGCCUUCGGGUGUUGACGAGUGGCGAACGGGUGCGUAAUGCAAAGGCACGUAUCACCUGCCGGGGGGUCUCGCAGAGCAUGCUGUACCAAUACCGCAUGCGAUCUGAGGUUGAGAGCGGCGGAGCGCGCUGCAAAGUUUGGCUUUGCGCCUUUGGAGUGGCUGAUGUCGGAUUAGCUAGUUGGUGGGGUAAAGGCUUACCAAGGCGACGAUCCGUAGCUGAUCUGAGAGGGUGACCGGCCACACUGGAACUGAGACACGGCCCAGACUCCUACGGGAGGCAGCAGUGGGGAAUUUUGGGCAAUGGGCGAAAGCCUGACGCAGCAAUGCCGCGUGCGUGAUGAAGGCCUUCGGGUUGUAAAACUCUGUUGUCAGGGACGAAACGAUGUCCGCGUAAAUCUGGCGGUAAUGACGGUACCUACAGAGUAAGCACCGGCUAACUACGUG
rnacentral:rRNA from 1 species